rnacentral:rRNA from 1 species
AGUGAACGCUGGCGGCGUGCCUAAUACAUGCAAGUCGAACGGAGUGGCGCACGGGUGAGUAAUGUAUAGCUAAUCUGCCCUAUACUCGAGGACAACAGUUGGAAAAGCAUUCUAAUACUCUAUAGUGAAGGAUGAGGCUAUAUUGUAUCAGCGAGGUGGUGAGGUAAUGGCCCACCAAGGCUCUGACGCACAACUGGUCUGAGAGGAUGAUCAGUCAAACUGGAAGGGAGGCACGGUCCGGACUCCUACGGGAAGGAGCAGUAGGGUGUAUUUCUCAAUGGGGGAAACCCUGGAACAGCAACGCCGCGUGAAGGAUGACACUUAUAGAAGAGUAAACUCCUUAUGUUAGGAACGCGGUACCUAACGAGUAAGCACCGGCUAACUCCGUGCCAGCAGCCGCGGUAAUUC